rnacentral:tRNA from 1 species
GGGACAUUAGAGGCUGCGUGAACCGAUCAACACACCAUCCGAGUGUGCCGCUUUUUUAUGUCAGCAAAAGCCAAUUGGCUUUUAACCAAUUGGUCGUAGGUUCGAAUCCCACACGACCCACCA